CCUUUAGUCAGCGUUAGGGUUUUAAACCCUAAACUGAACUUUUCCUUUAGUCAGCAUUAGGGUUUUAAACCCUAAACUGAACUCUUUCUAGCCAGUCAGUAUUAUGGUUUUAAACCCUAAACUAAACUUUCCCUUUAGUCAGCAUUAGGGUUUUAAACCCUAAACUGAACUUUUCCCAUUCAGUCAGCAUUAAGGUUUUAAACCCUAAACUGAACUUUUCCUUUAGUCAGCAUUAGGGUUUUAAACCCUAAACUGAACUUUUUCAUUCAGUCAGUAUUAGGGUUUUAAACCCUAAACUGAACUUUUCCCAUUCAGUCAGCAUUAGGGUUUUAAACCCUAAACUGAACUUUUCCCAUUCAGUCAGCAUUAGGGUUUGUAAUAGCAGCUAUUACACUGGAUAAGUCAGCUAUCUUUGUAAUAGCUAUUUGCAUCCAGUUGUUGAUGCUUGCUAGAGUCUGAGAGACUCUCAACACUAUGAGUGGAUAGGUAGAAGAUGAAGGUACCGAAGCUGA
rnacentral:lncRNA from 1 species